rnacentral:rRNA from 1 species
GACGGAGGGUGCUAGCGUUGUUCGGAAUUACUGGGCGUAAAGGGCGCGUAGGCGGCCGUUUGCGUCGGAUGUGAAAGCCCGGGGCUCAACCCCGGAACGGCAUCCGAUACGGGACGGCUGGAGACCGGGAGAGGAGGGUGGAAUAGCCAGUGUAGAGGUGAAAUUCGUAGAUAUUGGCUGGAACACCGGUGGCGAAAGCGGCUCUCUGGCCCGGUUCUGACGCUGAGGCGCGAAAGCGUGGGGAGCGAACAGG